rnacentral:rRNA from 1 species
CGGUACGUACUAGCAUUGUUGGUUUCUCCCUUCUGACGAAUCACGAUGUCAUUUAUUUGGUGUUGUGGGGAAUCAGGACUGUUACUUUGAAAAAAUUAGAGUGUUUAAAGCAGGCUCACGCUUGAAUACAUUAGCAUGGAAUAAUGAAAUAGGACGUUUGAUUCUAUUUUGUUGGUUUCUAGGAUCGACGUAAUGAUUAAUAGGGAUAGUUGGGGGCAUUAGUAUUCAAUUGUCAGAGGUGAAAUUCUUGGAUUUAUUGAAGACUAACUACUGCGAAAGCAUUUGCCAAGGAUGUUUUCAUUAAUCAAGAACGAAAGUUAGGGGAUCGAAGACGAUCAGAUACCGUCGUAGUCUUAACCAUAAACUAUGCCGACUAGGGAUCGGAUGAUGUUAAUUUUUUAAUGACUCAUUCGGCGCCUUACG